UUCUUGUGGCAGAAAACACUUUCUGGAAUCUCUCAGAGCUCCUCCAUCUGCAUGGACAAUUUAUCAGUUCGUAUGCUGCUUGUGUUUGUCAACCACUCUUAAAGCUCUGCAGUUUGCAUUCUUGUAAUAGUUUUAGCUUCAAGUGCCUACAGCCUGGAACAUUUGGCUAUGUCAGUAUUUGUAAUCUCAACAUGUCUGGGAAUAUCCUCCUGCACUGAGACCAAAUGACCCAGAAUAGCCCAUGUCCAACUGCCGGACUUGUUCGAUCUCCAAUAAAGGAUGCCUGCUUCCAAACUGCCUGCAGAGAAUAUUCACUAUAGUCUCACCUUCUUCUUCUAUGAUGUUCCUUCCUAAUCCUGCCCUGCAAUUCAUUUUGCAUUGCCUGUCGAGUUGCAAUGGAAUUCCCAUGAUGUUUUCACUGACUGCCUGGGCAGCAUCCAUCAGAGAAAUGGAGCAAGGAUAUGUUUCUACAGAAUAAAGCGGUCUGAAAUGCCCUGCUGUCACAGCACAAAACCAAGAGCACCUCUUCAUCUUCCCUCCGGCCAACGAAAGGGGACAGGAUUUUCAGUGAAACCCAGAUGUUGCUGUGAGUAUAUGUGUGCAUUUAUUAACAGAUAAUAGUGGAGGACUGCAAUUUAUAUCUGCAGAAGCUGAAAUAAUUAAGGAGGGUUGGGUAUUAAUGGAUGUAUGUUUUGAACAAUCUCAAAAACUUCUUUGUGUGGAAAAUUAAGAUCCUUGCUGAUAUUGAAAUAUCUCAGAUUGUUGUAAACCCAUGUUUCUAAUAUUUUAACUGGGAAUCACUUUCAUGGUCCGGCACUGCUGAUGCUGCCCCUUCAGAAGCCAGAAAAUGUCAGAUAUCUCAGUAUUUUCAGGAUUGUUUUGUUCCCAUUCAGCCUGACAGACAAAAAGGAGGGUUCUGAGGGAAGCUCUUAUUUCCUCCCUUCCCAUCUCCCUUUGCUCUUGCAAUAGCACCAUUGUACAGCACCGUUAUGCCAAAUUUUUUACAUAGAGACAGACUCGCCUGUCCCACAUUGUCAUUUCGACACUGUUUUUAACAAAGAUGUAUUUUCUGAGGAUCAUGUUUGAGAAUAAAUGGCUUUGGGUCUAGCACUAGUAAAAGAAGAAAAGCAAAUCCAAAGAACCCACUCAUUGAGUUCAGAGUAGCUACAGGGCAAUGCUGCAUCUUGCUUUUUAGGUGAAAUCUGCAAUUUUGUUUAUCCAGAGCAAUCUGUAACAGCUCUAUGGUAAAGCUGCUUUGAGGUUUAGUUUUGAAGUUUACUGCUCCCAGUUUUCAUUUAUUCCGUCAUAAUACAUGCAUAAAACAUUUUUAUUAUGUGGAUAGUAAUUUGCAUGAGCACAAGGACUUUAGCUCAAAUGCUCAUGAACAAGACUGUUCUUCAGUCGGGUCAACUGGAAGUUAUUCUGCUUUACUACAGGGCUUUCAGUUAAUUAAAUUCAAAGAACCUGUUCAACUGCUAAGGCCUGUUAUAGUCCAGAUAAGAAAAAAAAUACAUUUUUUCAUCAGUCUCUGGGGACAGACACUGCUGAUGCUCCUCCUGCUGUAGCCACAAUACAGUGGGCCACAAUACAAGUGAAAAGGAGGAAGAAUGUCCUGCCCAAAGUAUUUCAGUGGGACAUACACGUCUGUGACGAACACAGAAAGGACUAUUCAGAUGCAUUUUGUUAUAUGGAAUGAACUACAUUUCUGAUCUUCUAAUGCAAUGAAUAUUGUGCUCUGCAAGUAAUGUAAUUAACACAGGAAAAAGAGGAGUGAACUGCAUUUACAGUAGAAGUGAACUUUACCUAAAAUUAUCAUUUCAGAAAAUUGACUGUUCUUCUAACUGUUGGUAAUUAUUUUUUCCUUUUUUUUCUUGAGUUCCUCUUUAUUUGGAUAGGUAAUAAAAUUAGUUUUGAUCCUGCACACUGAAGGAGAAACCCUAGUGGCCACAUUCUGACUCUACUUGAACUAGUGUAGGAACUCAUACGGAAAAUUAAGUGAAAAUCAAUUAACAGUUGCCCCGGGCAUUUGAAACAAAUGCCAGGAAUCCCUAAAUGUUUCUCAGUUCUGUAUAAAUCAUAGCUGACAAGUGGUGGUAUCUCUGCUUCCACUGAAAAUUUGCUUUGUUACAGUAAAAAUUCUUUUAUUAUAUAUAGUUGCUGAUGUACAUAUAUAUAUGUAUUAACCGUCUACAUUUUCUCAUGUGCAUCUUCCAUAAAUCUCCUUUUGAGUCUCUUCCAAAGAAACUAACCUAUGCUUUUGAAGAAAAGAUGACUACCUGGUUGAAGAAAAGGAGUAAUGGAGAACACAUUCUUCAAGGUAUUUGAUAGUAUUCACUGCACCAUCAGGAGAUAUCUUUGUUUGGUACAAAGUGCUAAAGCCUUAAAAGACUAAAGCCGAACAAUAAUGAAUAGAACUGAUUUCCCAUCUUUGGAUUCUAGAGUGCUGACAUGGGAGUUUGAAGACGGUGGAAGGAAUCUAUGGACUGUAUUUACUGAUGUAAUUCAAUAAUUAAAGAUAAUUGUACAAUUUCUCUUAAGCUUGUUGAAAUUCAAGUUUUCUUUUGCUUUAGGCACGACCCAAAAAAUGUAAUAAUAUUUACCAUACUACCUGAUUUAUGUAUGUCUUUAAAUAGUUUACAAAGUGAAUUGAUAAUACAAAAAGUACCCAAAAUCAGAGAGAGAAUUUGUACAGAUUUAUACAAAUCUACAAACUUGAAAAGCCUGCCUUUGUCUCAGAACUUCUAUCUUUGUUUCAAAGAGAGAAAUUGGUACAUUACGUAGAUAGGAGAAAAGGAACUGAAGGGUAUAGAUAAAGGAGAAAUGAGCUUAAAGCCUAAGGAAGAGGAAAAAAAUAUAUAAUACAAUCGGAGUGAUCAGAGAUAAAGAACAAGAAAAAAUCAUCAAGAGAUUUUUCUUGAAAGAGGAGGUAGAAUGGAGAUGUAUUUUGUAGGCUACUCUGUUGGAUUAAAGAAGGCCUGAAAUGAAAAGGUAUGUGCAACAAAGGCGUGAGGCAGAUGGAAGGCUUCUCUUCUUAUUUCCCAAGGCUGAGGGCUUCCAGUCCUUUUUGCAUUUGGCUAAUUGCAAAGUCUGCAAUCUCAAAGGGUCACAAUCAUUUUCAGCUUUUGCUGGUGAGAGACACAAAGCAGACAACACUGCACGUUGCUCCUGCUAUAAUAAGAUGUCAUUUCAUCAGGAGGAGUAGACAAAAGGAUAGAUCUUCCUCUUUCCUCUUUUCCUCUGUUUUGCUUUGGGAUAUAACAUUCAGUUUCUCUCUCCAGUUUCCUACAACAUCACAAGGCCAGUUUUUGCUUUGAACUUCAGUAAUAUCAAGUACCUUCCAUGUAAAUGGUGCUUGAGAUAUAAGCGUAUUGCAUGGCCUCUGAGAAACCAAGACCACAUGGAAACUGUUCCCCCCCAAUUUCUGCCAAUAACAUCAGAUUUUGCAUUGCUUCCCCAACAAGAACUGCCCUGUAUCAGAGGCCAGCUUUGUGCAGGGGCUGAUGGUUCUGUAUAGUUUGUGUUUGUGAGCCAUCAAAGGCUUUGAGUGGGAGAGAGGAAACGAUGAAGGAAACCUGGAAUCUGCGCCCAUACUGUUGCAACCUUUCUGAGUUUACUUUAAGAAUCUUUGUCCAGCUCUUCAUCUUUUCACUUUAAUCACUGUAACAUCUCUUCACCUUGGUUUCUAGCUUUUUCCUUUCCCCACACCAUCAAUCUGCACAGAUGCUGCUUUUUCCAGUCAGAGCCUCUUUUGGCAUUUUUGCACUUUACCUCCAUCUUAUUUCUGAACUUCUGUUUCUCUUGUUGUCCCUCGGUGACUGUGUUUUUGCAUGCUGUAGAGAUACUCAAUGCUUUUUUUUUCUGUGUCAUGUCCUCAUUCUAUUCUAUGACCUCUUUUGUGCUGCCUGUACUCCAGGAGUGCUGAGACAAACAGGCUGGGACAGAACACAUCUCUGUGCUCUUCCUGGGAGCACAUUUUAUUCCAGAAAAUUUGUUCUGCUGGUCUCACCUAUAUUUCUUCAAUUGUUUAAUAUUAAGCACUUAUCCAGCAGCGUGAAUUACAAUUAUCAUGAAUUAUACAACAUGGCAGUUUCUGCCCUGCUUUGCUCUCAUUUACAUAACUGCUAGACUGUAAUCACAUUUUGUCUUCCAGACAGAAAUCUUCCAGACUUCUCCCAGGUUUAAUUGGAGGUGCUUUGUAAACCUUUGAUGGUUAAGGACACCAGAUUUUGGAGUGAAAUGCUGGUGUAUGUAUACCAUUUUCAGUUUUAUAAGAUUUAGACCUGACUUCAUGGCCACUCAUUGCAUCUUCCUGUUGGUGAGGGUUAUGGAUAAGGUGUGGGUAGUUAAAGAAGAGCAAAUGAAGCAUGCUAGUUCAUAGAGUUGGGGGGAAGAAGCUGGUGCAAUUGUGAUUUUUCUUUUUGCAAGCAUCGUAGAGGCUGGCUUUCAGAUAAUGUAGAUGUGUGAGGAUGUGUUUUGUCUCAGGAAUCAAGCUGGAGUCCAAGUCUGACAUUCAUUACUGUGCUGUGCAUUACCACAACUCUAGAAAAUAUUCUUCCAGCAAUUUAAAUUUAAUAUUUCACAGUCACUUUCAAACAUCAUCAGGCUGGGUCAGUACUUUCCUUUUUGUCUUUAAGUUGUAAAAAUUUUAUCUUCUCUACCUAAUAAAACACAUGCUGCACUCAAAAAUCUCUCAUUCCUUCUUGCAAAGGUGACAUAGCGAAGCUGUACAUAUACCACUCUUGGUAUCAAAUGUAAUUAUUGAUGUAAGGAACGUAUCAGCCCUGGCCUGUGUGAUGCUGCUAUUUCAUCUGCAGGCAUCCUUCUCCAAGCCAUAUAAACACACUGCUCCAGUGUUGUGCUUUCUUCAGCCCUUAGUUGACUGUAUAACAUUUUUGAAUGAGUUGUGUUUUGUACAUAGCCCGUGAAAUCAGUUUGUGCAGCAAUUGGUUGCUUUCCAGAAGAGUGCUGUAUGAGUGUAAGUCAUUAAUGUCGUCAUUAUCCAAGGAAAAGGAUGAAAAUAUGCAGAUAUAUUUCUUAGUGUAGAUGUAAUUAUAGCAUUUUGCAAGACUAUUUAAAUAGUACUUAUUUGGCAUAGUGGUUGCUAUUUAGUUUUAAGCAAGAUGAAAGGUAGAUCAUUUUUGCUUAUUUUUGUUCCAUUUUAAUGCAGUGCUAUUAAACUAAGCAAAUUUCAGAUUGGAGAGAGGGAAGUAAUAGGAUGAUUUGAAAAACAGCAAUGAAAGAGAAUGAAAAAUGAAAAUAAUUGUUGUUUUUUAGAGAUAAAAUUAACGUCGCAAACAGCAGUAAAACCAUAACUGCCUCUAACUUUUUCAUCUGCUUCUAUCUUUUUCAUCUUGAGAUCCCAGAAGCUUGAAAGCACAAAAGAAACAGCUUGUGGAAAAUCUGUGAAGUCCAUCUAUUUCUACAAUAGGAUUAUUCAUCACCACAUGUUUUCCCCAUCUGGAAGUAAAGGGACAAAAUGCUGAAACCACCACCGUCUCACUUGCAAAUUGCUCCACAGUCUAACCAGUCAUGCUAUUGAGAAGAUAUGCCUGCAGUUCAACCCAAAUUGUCUGUAAUCAUGUUGCUUCCUUUCCCUUGUUAUCCUGAGUAGUUCCUCCCCACCCAUAUGUUUAACCUCUCUGAAAUAUUUGUGGAUGGCAAUCAGAUCCCUCUGAGUCACUGCUUAGCUAAGCUGUAUGCAUUUUCAGCAUCCUUCUUUUCUUGUGUAAAUCUUCUCAGAUAUUUAACCAUUUUUCUCCACUUUCCUGUGAAAUCCUCAGCAUUCACUGAAGAUGUUAGAAUGAUUGCCCCUGGCUGAACAUGGGAACGGAACAUGAGCCUUACACAGAUGGUCCCCUUAGUGGCCUGGGUUCAAGUGCAGUGGGUUGAGGUGCUCAAACACUCCCUUACCACGCUUGGAACUCCUGCUCUAUAAAUCAGGGCUAUACAGUCUGGGGAGUACUGGAACUGUACAGCUGGGGGAAAGUCCCAGCUUUGCUCCACCUGGACUGUGGCCACAAUGGAAAAUUUUCUGGUUAAAGUCAAUUAUUUUGCUGCCGAAAGCUCUGUUGCUGUGUUUUGCACAUGUUCAACAAACUCAGCUUCCUUCUUGCGGUGAGGAGUACUCAAGAUGUGGUCUUAUCAGUGUCAAGCACUGAGGGACAAGCAGAACAAUUCAAAGGCUAUGACUAUCCUUGAGACCUUGUAGCACCUGCACCUACAGAAACUGUCCACAGAGGCCUUACCGGACCAUGUUUUAUUGUCAUUGUUUCUGGGCAAAGGUUUUAUAAUGCAGCAGUGGAGUCCAUCUUGCUGAAGCAAUGGAGACAGAUAGUGAUGGAGCUGCCAGAACAACCUGUAAAUUAUCUGCCCUAAAAUCCUCAAAGAGCACUUUGUGCUGAAAAGAAGGCUGUUCAAGGCAGGAGGGGAAGAAUUUGAUCUUGCCUACAUUUGUUGUACAGGAACAGAAAGGAGGAGUGCUUUAUUCAUCAAGUGAACACAGCACUUUAAAAAUUCAACUAAGUCAAUAUAGGAAUACGUUUAAAAUGUAUUCACCUUCAGAGAGAGAUUUCCUGGACUGACAGAACUGCCAAUGGGUAUGAGUUAUUGCUUAGCAAAAGUUGCUGCAAAGGAUGCUGUACCCAUCACCUCUGUGAAGGGGUCUUAUGUGGAACAAGCUGCUAAGAAAGUUAUGGCCAACAGAAGUUCUGCCUUUGACUGGUGCUUUGGUAACUACCUGUGGGGAUAGUCUGCUGUUAUUCUAUUUUUCUUCCUUCUUUGUCAGAGAAAAUGGCAGUCUGGUGACAGUGUUCUUGAGAAUAGCAACUUCAUUCUACCAGGUUCUGCUGGUAGAGUAGAAGUGGAAAGUCCUGCCUGAGAACGUGCAUUGUAGAAGCACUGCUACCAAAGCUGGCAGCUCUGCCAAAACCCAGAACAUGAGUGCUUUGGGGAUGCCCUGGUAGGAACUUAGGUCAGUGCUGGCCUUGGGCCAUCCAGAGUAAGAUGUGAACUGCCUGGACUACGGCAUUACUGGGCAGAAAGAGUGUCUGAUCCCUUCAUGAUUUCAACUUCAGAUUUGCACACCUUAUAUUUACCUCUGAGUACUUUGUAGCACAUUUUGAUAUUUAUGCUUUGACUUUAAUUCAGAAAGAAUCUGGAGAGGAAUAAGAGAGAGGCUAAAAAUGUGCAAGACAAAAAAUACAUGUGUGAUUUCUGAAAUCUGACAGUGUUUAGGAGGGGAAAUAGAAGCUACACUGCUGAUUAUUUUACUUUAUUCUCCCAAUUGAAUGUGAUUUUUUUUGUUUUGUUAUUUUUUAUUUUUCUUUCUAUGCUAUGUAUGGAUGAUACCAGGCCAGUUCCUACCCAAAGGCUUGCUUAAGUGCUUUCAAUCUUACUUGCUUACUUUGCAUCUACAGUAACAAGGAUUCAGUUGUGAGUAAGCCUCAGCAUUUUACUUUAGUUCAAAUGAUUUCUAACUGGAAUAUCAGUGAAUCUUUACCUUCAGGUCAUCCGUGCUCUUUUGUAAGAAUGAAUUUCAGUAGCUUAAAAAUGCUCAGAGUUCGUGAAUGACAGUGAUAACUCACUGCUAUGAAACUUCCUGUAAGUGUGCACCCAUCUCCCUAAAUAAGUAGAAAUGGGUUUCAAAUAACAGGCUCUUCUGUUUAUAAGAGUGGUAAUUAGAAGUGCAUUAAGGAAACCCUCAUUUCAGAAGCAGGCGUAUGAUAUCUAUGAAGUUUCCUGCUUUUUUCCUUUUCUAUAUAUGUUUGAGGCUCCUGAUUGUCUAAUGAGAUUAGGGUAAAUUUGAAAUUAAUUGUAUCUUGUAUAUGUUUUUGAAAUAACAGGCAUAAAGCUACAUUAACUUGUUUCCAUUUGUGAAAGCAGCCUGUUUUCCUUGGUACGUAAGUAACUUCAUGGUUACUAAAGUCUUACUUAUACCCUUUGAAUUGUAUGAGCAAACCUUUCUCUAUUUUAUGUGUUCAUGAAGAUAUUGAAGAAAUAUCAGCAGCUUUGUAUGCAAGUAGACGAGUGAAGUUGGCAUUUAAACUCUUGAAAAUUACAUAACAGCUACUAGUGUUAAGAAAUUAUAGAUAUGAUGAAGGAAGAGCUGUGAAUUUACAUUUAGAAAUUAACCCAGCUGGGUUUUGUAUGUGAGUGAAAGGUGAAGGAGAGAUAUUUUUAAAAGCUAUUAUUAUGCAUCAGCAAGGUGUGUGUCAUUAACGAAUUAUUUUGAGAAUGCCUUACUAAGACAGUGGUGGUAAUUAGUCUUUAGAUUUGUAGAAGGAAUGUGAUAUUCCUUUUAAUUGGGAAAGUUUUCCUGCCUCUGGGCACGCGCCCUGAAGUGGAGAGGGGGGGAGAGUAGAGGAGAAGGGAAAGUAGGAGGGGAGUGGAGGGAAGAGGUGAGGAAGGAAGGAGACUCAGUGGACUUUAAGAAUUGUCCAUCCUUUUCCAAAAUAGUCAGCAGUGCUACUGAAAAGCCUUCCUUCUGAAUGAUAUUAUCCUAUCCUAACAUUACUUUGAAGUUUUCUACCCCUAGAUGAAUUCUACAUUCAUUAAUGUCAGCAAGCCUUUUUUUUUCUGGACUAUUGAGGCCAUCUUUCCUGCAAAUGACCUUAACAGCUGCAAAGAGAAAAGAUAUGAUAACAUUACAUUAAAACACACACUAUGGUAGUUCUCUGAAAAUUUGGAGAUUUUGUUAGGUUUCUGGCUGAGUUUAUGAAUUUACUGUAUGCAAAGCUGCAAUGGAUUUUUCAGUUCCCUCCACUAGUUCCCCCAAGCCUCAGGUUACGAGAGAAAAGCCAAAAAUGCAGGGCAAUGUCAAUUAUAGGAUAGCUAGAGGCAUUAUGUUCCCCUCUCCCAAGCUGUUCUCAGCAGUGACUUAUUGCCACACUUCAGAGAACAAAUUAAGAUGCUCUGCAGUGAUGGAUCCCAAAAACUUGUUUGUCCUGAGAGCCAAGGAAGAGAAAAAGGUGUGGCAAACAGUGAAUGCACCAGAACACAUGAAGCUAAGGGGAUGUGGAAAUAUAAUGUUGAAAUACCCAGUCUAUCUUUCCUUCUCUGCCCUAACCUACAGGAAAAACAAAAUCAGUUAUGUGUUUUGACUUUCUGUGAAAUAGAGGGAGCAUUAGACCUUCUGCAUUCAAGGAGGGAACCAUGGACAUAAGAAUAGCUGCUUAUCUUCAUUUGUGGUCUUGGAGAUGAAUAAGGAAUGAGUGACAAUUUGUAUUCACUACUGAGUACAUAACACAACUGUUCGAGAGAAGAUGCAGGUCUCCAAAAUCUACCAGCUGCCAUGCACUGGGCUAGUUUGGCAACGUCCAUCUUACCACUCGUGAAAGUAGGCCUUCGCAUAUUUGUGUAAUUCAGCAAAGGAUGUGGUCAAAUUAUUGCCUUUGUCUCUUUUUAUUCUGAAUUACCUCCAGAACUAAGGUCAAAUAAGGAAAAACUAUCCCACAGCAAAAGAGAGAAGUAAAGAGACAUACUGGUUAGCUUCUCACUGUCUGCUAAACUGCAUGAAGUCUACUUGAAAUCUCUGAUCUACACUAACAUACCAACUUAAAAAAAAAUCCACAAAUGCUAUACCCUGCAACUAGAAAAGUAGGCAGCUGGGUUAAACUUGUAAAUAGUGAGUCAGGCUCCUCAGAUUCUGGGGAAGACUGAAGAUGAGAGGAAGCAGAGUAACUGCUGGCCCUUUGGUAUGGAACACAGGCAAAGUCAGGGGACAACAAUGGCAAAAGUUCCCUGGUCUAUGGGGUAUUUGGGACGUGAAUCCCCUUCCUGAGGGUGAAAGUGGUGCCUGAAAGAGUCAUGUACAGAGGUCAGUGCGUUAGGCUGGUGAGUGUCCAGGAGGAAACACUCCUGGAGGACAGCAAUACAAUAAGUUUAAGAAAAAAAAAGGCCAGAACAUAAAUUCUUGCCACCCUUUAAAAUUUAACAAUAUUAAGCAUAAUCAUUUGGCAGUUCACUUAAUCUCAGUGGCAAAAAUAACUGGUUAUACGUUAUUAUUGAAGAUUAAAAUCUUAAAUCUUCCAUCAAGGCGGGGAGGGAGCAGGAGGUGCUAGAUAUGACUUUUGUCAUAUCAGGACCCUAAUGAAUUCUGCAAAAAAAGAAUUCUUAUGAAAUAUCCUUUCCAUUCAGCUAUUAUCUUUGGCUGUAGCAAUUACUCAUUUGCUCUAAACUGAAAUCCAACAACAUGAAGCACAGCUAUUCUCUUUCAAACUAAAAUCAGUAUUGGCAGGAUGACUGAAACUAUUUGCUUCCAUUAAAGGCAAAAUAUGUCCUAAGUGGUCACAAGUGUGCCAUCUUCCUCAGCUGUCAGUGCCUAAUUUGAAAUAUUUAAUUUAAAACAUUUUUAAAGCAGGCUGGUUGUCUCUGUUGCUCUGAGCUUACAUCUCCUACAUUCUAUUUCCAAUACCUGCCCCCACAUCCAUUGGCUGCUUCUGAUGUGCUAACGCAUUUAGAAAUGUGACUUUCCUCAUCUAUGCUAGACAAAAAGUCUAAUGCAAGAUCAUGUUGGUGAGUUCAUUCUAGAACACCAUCUUCUCUGGCCUUUUGUUAUGGGAGAAGCAACAGGAAGGAAACUGAGCUCCAACUACUGCUCCAGUAUGGUCAGCAAGAUGCACAGGAGGGAAAUUCUGUAUCCAGCUUGUGGAAGGUAUGGCAUGCCUCUUUCAGAUCCUCCUCAGAAGGGCAUCUACAUCACAGUAGUGCGGCCAAAGAUGUGGUGGAGAAGCCAUGAGAGAGGAGUCCCAGAGAGAACCUCAUAAUCCAUAGAAUCAUAGAAUCAUUAACAUUGGAAAAGACCUCUACGGUAAUCUAGUCCAACCACCAAUCUGUCCCCACCAUGCCCACUAACCACCUCCCUAAGUGCCACAUCUACACCUUUUAUUAACACCUCCAGGGACUCCACCACUUCCCCAGGCAGCCUGUUCCAAUGCAUUAACACUCUUUUGGAGAAUAAUUUUUUCCUAAUAUUGAACCUGAACUUCCCCUGGCACAACUUAAAGCCAUUACUUCUUGUCCUAUCACUAACUACAUGGGAGAAGAGGCCAACCCCCAUCUUGCCACAGACUCCUUUCAGGCAGUUGUAGAGGGCAAUAAGGUCUCCCCUGAGCCUCCUCUUCUCCAGACCAAACAAUUCCAUUUCCCUCAGCUCACCCCAAGACCUGUGCUUCAGAUCCUGGAUUAAUCUUCUGUGCACUUGAAUAAAAAUGUAGUUUCUACUGAAAGACAAAACUUUUCAUGCAAAGAGAGGACAAUUCUGUUUAAAAACAACAGUAAGUACAUCAGAGACAUUGUAUUCAUCCUACAUUCUGAAAAAAAAAUGCCAAUAAUAAAGCUCUAUCUAGAGAACUGUGGAAGGAAAAAGAUUUUUUGAUAUCUUUUUUUCUAAACAAUUAAAGCUGAAGCAUUCAGCAUUUUGGAUCCAGUGUAAAUCCUCGCAUUCCUGGGCAAUAUAUAUACAUAUUUUCUGUCAGCAAAUCCUUAGUUUCCACAUUAGUUAAUGUUCCACCUGCUGUAUAAACCCAGAGAAGCUGUCUCUUGCAACUGUAGUGUUCUCUUCUGGCAGUCCUUUUUUCUUCCUUUUUCUUCUGUCAAAUAUGCAGAAAAUACCUUUGAAAAUGUACACAGUGUUCACAGUAAAUGGAAAUAACACAGAUGCACGCGUGUACAUUUAUGGAAGUGUAAUAAUUCUGAGAACAGUACAGAGAGCUCAGUUAACAGACUACAGUAAACGAUGCCAGGUUACCUAAACCUCAUAGUCCCAAAAGGAAGG
ensembl:lncRNA